CAGCCGUAAACAAUGUGCGUUAGGUGUGUCGGUAACCACGCGUUACUGAUGCGCCGAAGAGAAAUCGUGAAACGCACCACCUGGGAAGUACGGUCGCAAGGCUGAAACUUAAAGGGAAUUGGCGGGGAGCACCACAACGGGUGGAGCCUGCGGUUUAAUUGGACUCAACGCCGGAAAUCUCACCGGAUAAGACAGCUGAAUGAUUGUCAAUCUGAAGGUUUUACAUGACUAGCUGAGAGGAGGUGCAUGGCGUCAGUGACU
rnacentral:rRNA from 1 species